GUUGGAGAUGAAGGGUUAACAGGAGUGAGGCUGGCAAGGUGGCUGCCAUCCCCAGGAAGAGCCUCAUUUUCCAUGAUAAGAUAUGUAGACAUGCCCAAGUGUGGCAGAGAAGCCUUGAAGGAACACCAUGGUCAGGUUAAGAUGUGGCACCCACCUCUGAUACAGGGUAGGAAGAGCCUGGGCAGUGCUGAUUAGGAGACGCUGGUGCCAUUAAGACAAGAGAGGGAGGUUGACCCAGGCGUGCGGGCCUCUCUGGUCUCCUCCCUUCAUCUUUUUUCUCCAUUUCUAUUCCCAGCAACAAGCCAAUCUGAUCCCAGGGUUGAACCUCAGCGCACUUGGCAUCUUUUCAACAGGACUGUCCGUGCUAUCUCCACCAGCAGGGCCCCGCGGAGCUCCCCCCGCUGCCCCCUACCACCCCUUCACUACCCACUCCGGAUACUUCUCCAGCCUGUACCCCCAUCACCAGUUUGGCCCGUUCCCGCAUCAUCACUCUGUAAGUGCCCCCUCAGUUCAGCCGCACCUGCCACUUCUCCUGGGGCUGGGCCCACUUGGCCCUUGGUGGCCAGUGAAUGUUCACAGUGCAGAUCUU
rnacentral:lncRNA from 1 species